rnacentral:rRNA from 1 species
CCUACGGGGGGCAGCAGUGAGGAAUAUUGGUCAAUGGACGAGAGUCUGAACCAGCCAAGUAGCGUGAAGGAUGACUGCCCUAUGGGUUGUAAACUUCUUUUAUAUGGGAAUAAAAUGUUCCACGUGUGGGAUUUUGUAUGUACCAUAUGAAUAAGGAUCGGCUAACUCCGUGCCAGCAGCCGCGGUAAUACGGAGGAUCCGAGCGUUAUCCGGAUUUAUUGGGUUUAAAGGGAGCGUAGGUGGAUUGUUAAGCCAGUUGUGAAAGUUUGCGGCUCAACCGUAAAAUUGCAGUUGAAACUGGCAGUCUUGAGUACAGUAGAGGUGGGCGGAAUUCGUGGUGUAGCGGUGAAAUGCUUAGAUAUCACGAAGAACUCCGAUUGCGAAGGCAGUUCACUGGACUGCAACUGACACUGAGGCUCGAAAGUGUGGGUAUCAAACAGGAUUAGAUACCCUAGUAGUC